GCUGCUCCUCCUGCACCGGGCGAGGGUAGAGGGAGGGCAUCAGCCCACGGGGCGCUGGGGAAGAGCAGCGGGGCUGUGCUUGGGAGGAAGGGGCUCAGCAGAGGUCCCCGCCCCAGCGGUCAGCGCGGGGCCUCCCAGCCCCUUCAGCAGGGGCCUCCAGCCUCUCCUCCUCCUGACUCUAGACUGGAGCCUGGUGCUGUCCUCAUCUUGUCCCCAGCCGGGAGGGGCCUUGCUAUGUAGUCCAGGCUGGCCUCAAACUCCUCCUGCCUCAGCCUCCCGAGUGCUAUUAUAGCUUGUGCUGGCCAUGAAGGGGGCUGAGAAGCCGGCCGUGGUGGCGCACAUCUGUCAUCCCAGCACUCAGGAGGCUGAGACAGGAGGAUGGCAAGUCCAACCCCAGCCUGGGGAAGUUGGUGACUUAGUGAGACCCUGUGUCAAAAUAAAAAAGGUGCCUUUAACAAGAUGUCAAUAAUCUGAGGAAUCCACACGGCUGCUCCAGGUGCCUAUCUCCUGGGCCCGCUGGAGCCCCUGUGACUGAGGUGCUUCCGCCUCCCUGGCUGCCCACCCGCCUGGACCCACACCUGCUGGCCUCGGAAGCCAGUGGGGCCGACGUCCAUGCUCCGGGUCCCCUCGCCCUCUGCUCCCCUCCAUCCUUCUCCUCCCGAGUGCCAGCUGCACCCAGGGGCCACACAGGCUUGGAAGUCGCGACAGGAAGCUGUGCUGGGCAGCUGAGGCCAGAGCUGUCUGCACAACAGAGUAACGCAGUGGCCCAGGACAAGGUGACAGCAUGUCCUGCAGGACCUCAGGUGCCGUGACUGCGGGUGCAGGAGUCAGGCCACAGGCAGGAAGGGCUCACCGAGCUGUGGGAGUAGGCAGGGCUCACAGGUCCUGAAUGAAGCAGAAACAGCCGGGCAUGGUGGCACAUGCCUGUCAUCUCAACGCUUGGGAGGCUGAGGCAGGAGGUCGCUGUGAGUUCCAGGCCAGCCUGGGCUAUACAGCGAGAUCCUGUCUCAAAAAACAAAAAAACAACAAAAAAGCAGACACAGAAGAACCAAGGGUGGACUGGCCGUUUUGAAGUCUCUCCUUUAAGGAGGGACAGGAGCUGCAGAAUAGAAGUGACCAGAGGGUAGGGCAGGUGCUGCAGGCUCUGUGAGCCUUAGUGGCCGAGGCGGCCGUGCUGAGUGGAAGUGGCUGCUCGGAGGGCGGGCUGUGCUUCUCAGUUUCCUGGAGGCCCGAGGAGUGGCCGCCCUCCAGCAGGCAACUGCAGCUCAGCCCCGACUUGCAGCGACCGGCCCAGCACCGGCCCCUGUUCUCAAUGACACCAGUGCCGUGCCAGAGCCCGAGGGAUAGGACAGUGUCCAGGGGUCCCUGCCAACACGUGCAAGCGAGGCGUGGGUUUUCGUCACAUGCUGGCUCGGCCGCUCCCGUCAAAGGGUUGACCCUUGAAGUCUGGGUGGUGUCAUCCAGCCGUUACAAGGCCUUAAGAACACAAAGGGCCCGGAUGGGAUGGCACAGGCCUGUUGUACCAGCACUCUGGGAGGCUGAGGCAGGAGGAUCCAGUUUGAGUCCAGCUCCAGCAACUUAGCUUCUUAGUAAGAUCUCAAAAUAAGAAAAGAAGAAAAAAAGAGGGCUGGACAUGGAGCUCGGGGCAAAGGCCCUGGGUUCAGUUCCCGGUGAAAAAAAAAGAACAAAAGAGGUUUCCCUGAUGAAGAAGAAAUUCUGCCGGCGAAUGGCAAUGUGGAUCCUGGGCAGAGGUUCCAGCUCUCCCUGCUCCAAGGCGCCUGGCCCAAGUGCGCUGAGGGUGAGGCCAGCCAGCAAAGUAGUCAGGCUCCCAAGACAAGCUCUUCUGCUCAUUUGUUUUCUGAGACAGGGUCUUGCUGUGUAGCCCAGGCUGGCCUCGAAUUCACAGGGAUCCUCCUGCCUCAGCCUCCCCCGAGCUGGGAUGACAGGUGUGCACCACCAUGCCUGGCAAAGCAAAAUCAAUUUAAAGACUAGUUGAAGAAAAAGAAAAACAACCCAGUUUCAAAAGUGGUCAAGGAGCUGAGGCAGGAGGAUCUCUGAGUUUGAGGCCAGCCUGGGCUACACAGCAGAUCCUGUCUCCAUAUAUAUAUAUGUGUGUGUGUGUGUUUACUUUUUGGUACCGGGGAUUGAACUCGGGUCCUUGCGCUUGCGCAGCAGGCAACGAAACCACUGAGCUAAAUCCCUGGUCCCUGUCUCCAUAAAUUAAUUAAUUAAUUAAUUAAGAAGCUGAGCUGACGUCCCCAGAGACACUCACAGGUGGCGCCUGGAGGCUGCCCACAGGGUCACCGGGCCGUGACCUCAGAGGCCAGGAGCCCCCAUGGUCUGAGGAGGCACUGCACACAGCAAACGUCAGCCCAGGGAGGGCAGCCACGCCCCCCGAGGGAAUGCACCGCCGCUGCACUGUGGGUCCUGCUCCACCUGGCCGGGAGGUGGGGAGGCGCAGAGGGAACAUUUCAGAAGCGGAUGGCAGCUGUGCUUGAACAGUGUCGGAAAUGUGAUCUGCACACUGGAAAAUGGUCAGGGUGAGCCGGGCGCGGUGGGCAGGCCUGUGGUCUAGUGUGGUGACUAAUGGUCACCUUGGAGCGUCCAGCUGAGCUGAGCCUGCAUGGCUGGGCGUGAAGACACACCUGAGGAUUGCUGCCAACAGCGUAAGAAGAGACCUGGAGGGCGAGAUCAGGGGCUGUAGAUGUAUUUACUUAUUUAUUUGGUACCUGGGAUCGAACUCCGGACCCUGUGUUUGCGAGGCAGGCAGCAGCACUACUGAGCUACAUCCCCAGCCCAGCUGUUGAUUUUCUAGGAGAAGCUUGCUGCGGCUGGUUUCCUGAUGUGAACUCCGCUGUUCUCGCCCGAGGAGGAGCUUGGGGGCUCACUGUCUCGGGGAAUGGCUGCUGGUCUUCACCGUGGGCGUCACUUCCUGCUCCAGUGCAGACCCCUCAGCCUCGUGCCACAGGUCCUUCCCCCACUGGAGCAGACUUUCCAGCUUCCACCACUGGCCUUGGGCCUUCCCGGGGCAGAGCCUCGAGACGGACAAGCAUGAGGCACUGCCGUGGGCUCUGGGCCUCUGGCUGGACUCAUCAAGGACACUGCUGUGGGGUCCAGGCCCUCAGCUGGAUUCCUUGGCUCUCUAGUGUGCAGCUAGAUCACUUGCACUCCUCUGAAGUUGACUUUUCAGGUGACUACUAUAAAAUCCUAUAAACUAUGUGUCCUGUGUUAAAUCUAUUCCCUUGCAAAACCCUGACUACAACAUCUAGCUUCUUGGGAGGCUGAGGAAGGAGGAUCACAAGUUUAAGGUCAGCCAGGACAACUCAGCAAAACCCUGUGCCAGAAUUUAAAAAAUAGCCAGGCAUGGGGGUGCAUGCCUGUAAUCACAGGAUUCAGGAUGCUGAGGCAGGAGGAUCUCGUCAAGUUCCAGGCCGCCUGGGCUACAUAGCCAGAC
rnacentral:lncRNA from 1 species